rnacentral:rRNA from 1 species
AUGUUCAUUCCUACAUUUGGAAAAGAAGGGAUUCAUUUAGCAGUUCUCGGAAGUUUCUUCAAUAAACCAGCGAAUUUAUCAUCUAGUCCAUCAGGAUUGCAACCGGAGGAGCCGGAGAACACGACCCCUGUCCUAUGUGCGGCCAUAUCCCCCAUGGCUUCUACAAGGACCAUAUCCCCCACGGUUUUUUAG